rnacentral:misc_RNA from 1 species
AAGUCGUAACAAGGUUUCCGUAGGUGAACCUGCGGAAGGAUCAUUAACAACGUAUCCACGUUUCAAACCAACUUGUGAACCUGUUAUCUCCCUUUGCAGAGGGAAUUUGGAGCUGGUUGCUCGCAUGGAUGGGAUGAAUUGUUCUGUUCUUGGUAAAACAAGAUAGUUCAGUUUGUGGCGGCAACGGUUGUACUGCAUUUCUGGAAUCGAAAGAGGAAGGAAAGUAACACUUUGUGAACUCUGCAAAGGCUUUUGUUCUCUAUUGUAGCCUCAACAUUCAUAGGCAAAGUAGAGGACGUAUCCUGUUAAUAAUAACUAUUUCAUCCUUUGUACCAACCAGUUGAUUUUAUUCUUGUAGUCAUUAUGAAAAUAAUGUUCUACUUGUUCUUAAUUGAACACAAAUUACAACUCUUAGCGAUGGAUGUCUCGGUUCUC